CGGCCAUUCAAAAUACCAAAAUAAAUACUCCCAUAGCCCGACCAGAGCUUGGACUAGGGAGUAGGGGAUAUCUGUUAAGAGUAAUUUGGAAUGGAUCGAUGAUGUAUGAAAAUUCAAGCCUAUUAUAACCCAUCGGGUCUAUAUCAGCGCAUCUCAAGCGGCCUAAUUAUUGUGGUUUGUCCGAUCUCUGAUCGGCAAAUAUCUAUCCCGACCCUUGGUCGGAGGCUAUUCUGUCCGACCCUUCAUCAACAUAUUCUUGAUCCGACUUCUGAUCUAAAAGAGCUAGUCAGAGUACACACCUUAAGCAAUGCAGUCACAUGAUUGAUUAUGACUCGUCCAACUCCUAAUCGGCCGGCAACUGGCUCCGAGCCUUAGUCGGCACACCACACUCUCUAAUCUCUCCUCGAAAACAGAUUGAUCAGGCUCAGAUUCAAAAGGCAGGCACUAACUGAUUACAGCUAUCAAUCCUAUCUGGGUGCAACCGUCUGAUCCUGAGAAUCUUGUAGAUGCAAUCGCUUGAUCUUGAGAAUCACGACCAAAUAAUCGUACCAGAUUCGAUCAGCC
rnacentral:lncRNA from 1 species